rnacentral:rRNA from 1 species
CUGGCUGCGCGCAGCCUGAUCCAGCAUGCCGCGUGUGUGAAGAAGGCCUUCGGGUUGUAAAGCACUUUUGUCCGGAAAGAAAUGGCUCUGGUUAAUACCUGGGGUCGAUGACGGUACCGGAAGAAUAAGGACCGGCUAACUACGUGCCAGCAGCCGCGGUAAUACGUAGGGUCCAAGCGUUAAUCGGAAUUACUGGGCGUAAAGCGUGCGCAGGCGGUUGUGCAAGACCGAUGUGAAAUCCCCGGGCUUAACUUGGGAAUUGCAUUGGUGACUGCACGGCUAGAGUGUGUCAGAGGGGGGUAGAAUUCCACGUGUAGCGGUGAAAUGCGUAGAGAUGUGGAGGAAUACCGAUGGCGAAGGCAGCCCCCUGGGAUAACACUGACGCUCAUGCACGAAAGCGUGGGGAGCAAACAGGAUUAGAUACCCUGGUAGUCCACGCCCUAAACGAUGUCAACUAGUUGUUGGGGAUUCAUUUCCUUAGUAACGUAGCUAACGCGUGAAGUUGACCGCCUGGGGAGUACGGUCGCAAGAUUAAAACUCAAAGGAAAUUGACGGA